CUCUCCCCUGCGAUCUUUGUUGGCCUCUUCCGGAGCUUCUGUCUGUGGCUGGGCACGGUACGGCGUUCAUAUCACCCCCUACAAUGAGCAUGCCAUAUGGUAGGGCUUUGAUGUUUGUGUGUAUGUUCCCCAAGAAGACUGUGUCGGGCGCAUUAGGCGUGUAAAUAUUGAUCAGGUGUACUGGAUGGGAGUAUAGGGUGCCUGACAGUAUUACAUAUCUCCCUUCCGUGUCUAGGUCUGAUGUUACUAUAAAGAUUGGGCAUUUGUUAUGUAUGAGUAUAGCUACCCCGUUGCCCUUACCAUGUGAUCUGGCUUCGUAUGUAGUGGAGUAUGUGCGGUCCCGCAAUUGGAAUGUAGUACGUUUGAAAUAUGCGUCUCCUGUAAAAAGGCUAUGUCAGAUCCUAGUCUUUUUAUCUCUCGGAACAUCAGUCUUUUUUGGGG